GUUACGAUGAAUUUUUGAAAAUGCAAAAAAAAAAGUUUUUUUGAAAUACUCGAGCGCGUCAGAUUUUCAUAGGGGAGGUUUAUCUCGGUAUCCUGAAAGCAUAUUUUUUUAAUCUGACAAAAAUGUUGGUGGGUUCUCUUAAUCUGACCGAAAAAGGUUUUUUUGGUUUCUUUUUUUUCCUUUCUUUCUCCUUGAUAAAACGGGGAAUUUAAGAAUGACAAUAAAAUUACCUUUUUUGUUUAUUUAAACUUUUUUUUUGUAAAAUGUAUCGUUCGCGACUUAUAUGCCGCAACGCGUUCUUAGGAAAAUGAAAUGGCUCCUCCACACUUCCGGUCAUGCGGAAACCGGCAGAUUUUGUAUUUUUAGUAAGUUUUAGAUUAUAUUCUUCAAAAUAAAAAAUAAAAAAAUCGCGCUCGAGAAUGCCGGAUUAACGUUUUUUUUUUACAAGUUCGCGACCCUAUAACUCGGCGGCGUCAAGGACUUAUCGUCAGAUUAGUUAAAUUUAGUCUUUAAACACUAAAAUCAACCCCCAAUAUCUUAAUCUGAGGCGCUCGAGUAUUUCAGACUAUCCAUUUUUUUUUACUAAUCUGAUCGUCUAUCCUAGGCGCGCGUCACUACAUAUAGAGCUAAAUACUUUACAAGGUUGUUCUAUUAGGUCUAAGGUAUCUCUCAUAUCUUAAACUGCCACGCUCGAGUAUUGCCGAAAAUUCCCCUAUUCGCCUCCCUAACUAUCAGUGUUCAAAAUGAUCUUAAGAGUCCUUACUCCUACAGACGAGCGUAUUUUGCAAAAUGCUUCCUUUUUCAUUUAAGAUUACGACGUAACUAUUAGUAUUUAUUCAAAAACUGAUAACGUACUUAAAUAAUCAUUUCUUAAACUAGGGGCUGAAAACGUUCAAAUUUUCAUUUUCUCUUUUUGAACCUAAAAUAAAUGAGUUUUCUUAGGAGUCUUUUUCAAAUUUUGCAGUGAGAAGGGUCGUUUCGGUUCUCAAUUUUGCAGUAAACAAGAAUCAUUUGGUACAUGAAUGAUUACAAUUCAACUCACCAUAUCUUGUACGAGGGGCUGACAUGCUUGAAAAUCGAAGAUUCAUUUUAAAAAAUUGAUAAAAAACCUUCCGAGUUUUCUUCAUUUUUUUGGUGAAAACAGGGUUACAUUACAUUUUUUUAUCGCAAAUUGGACUUAUA